UACGUAGGGCGCAAGCGUUGUCCGGAAUUAUUGGGCGUAAAGAGCUCGUAGGCGGCCAGUUGCGUCCGCUGUGAAAUCCCGGGGCUUAACCCCGGGCGUGCAGUGGAUACGGGCUGGCUGGAGGCAGGCAGGGGAGAACGGAAUUCCUGGUGUAGCGGUGAAAUGCGCAGAUAUCAGGAGGAACACCGGUGGCGAAGGCGGUUCUCUGGGCCUGUACUGACGCUGAGGAGCGAAAACGUGGGGAGCGAACAGG
rnacentral:rRNA from 1 species